rnacentral:rRNA from 1 species
UACGUAGGGGGCAAGCGUUGUCCGGAAUCAUUGGGCGUAAAGCGCGCGUAGGCGGCCAGAUAAGUCCGGUGUGAAAGUCACAGGCUCAACCUGUGAAUGCCGCUGGAAACUGUCUGGCUUGAGUCCGGAAGGGGCGAGUGGAAUUCCUGGUGUAGCGGUGAAAUGCGCAGAUAUCAGGAGGAACACCAAUGGCGAAGGCGGCUCUCUGGGACGGUACUGACGCUGAGACGCGAAAGCGUGGGGAGCGAACAGG